AGAAAGAAAGAGAAGAUCAAGAAAAGCAGCAGAAGGAAGAGCAAGAAAAAACUGUAGAACACACUUCUGUAAAGGAAGCAGACAAAACCAGCCGUACAGGACGACAUCCAAGUCGAAGUGCCUUGUCUAGUCGUAAUGAUCGAAGAUCAGUCAAAAGUCCUCAAAAGACAGAUGCACCGAAGGAGAAUAAACAUCCAUUUGCUCUGUAUGGGUGGGGAGAAAGACAGACAGAUACUGGAAGCCAGAAAACUCACAAUGUCUGUGCUUCUGCUUCAGCAAAUGAAAUUCACGAAUCUGCUCUACGAGCAAAGAACAGGAGACAAGUGGAGAAAAGGAAGCUUUCUCAGAGACGAGUGCGAUCAGCGGAAGCAGAGAAAGCUUGGCGAAUAAAGCCCUCCCCACCAGACAACCCUUGGAUGACAGAGUAUAUGAGAUGCUACUCAGCAAGAGCUCGGUGAAUUUGGAUUCCCUUAGGCAUCUUCAAAAGAAGUUAUGCAUAUCAGGACACUGGUGCAAGGAACCAAAUUACUUAUGCAAGGUUUUUAUAGGGAGUUUCCAGCUGUUAAAAUAUUUCUUACGAUAUUUUUAUCUUGGCUACCUACCUCACAGUGGGGUGUAUUGUUGGAGCCACAACAUUUGAAGAGGCUUUUAGAUAUAGCUACCCAAACUUUUAAACAAUUCCCCUUUUGGGAAUCUUUCUAAUGCUUCAGUUGACUUGUUUUGGGGGUGGGAGGGGUGAACCUUAGCAUACAGGGAAUCAAAGCAAACACUUUUUUGAUCUUGGUUACAAAUAAUCUGUUGUCCCUUAUUUUAAAAGUCCAAGUCAUGGGGAGGUGGUGUUGAGGAAAGGCUUUAAAGGUGUGAUGGAGGUGCCUUUGCAUUUGAUUUAAUUACUAUUUGAUUUAAUACUUCUACCAAAAUAAGUAUAUUAAGACAGGCAACAGGAAAGCCAGUGGAUCUGGUAAACAGCACUAAUAAAUGUAAAAGCUUUAGGCAGGCAAAUACCAAGUAUUGUCUGUAUAUAGAAACUUUCAAAAAACCUUGUUUGAUUAGUGAAUCUGCUGAUGCUAACUUUUAUCGCUGUUUCUAAGGUCAUUAGAACAAACUACUAAUUUUCAGGGCAAGAAACAGCUACAGGAUUGUUUUGCUGUGUUGCUGUGCCUGUUGUACCAAAUAACUGAUGUAGACAAUCAUUACCGGAUAGCUGCUGCUCAAUAAGCAGUUGCUUGUUCUACCAGUAUCAAGUUGUACCACUGUACUGAGCUUGUGGUCACACUCACUCUAUGCUUAAUCAUGUAAAUGCCAGUUUGUUGAAGGAGAGGGCUGGCUCCUGUCUAGUGAAGUCUAUUUUUAACACUUAAGAAUAUCUAUUAUUCUCAGUGGGGGUCAGAGUGCAAUAUGCAUUCCAUUUAGUGGUAUUGUACAUGUACACUGUUAAAGGUUUUAAACUUGAAAAUCACAUUGAUAAAACUUGUAGAUCAAGUCCUGAGAAGCCUUCUGCCUCAAAAUUGGUGCAGAAUUCCUCACUGGAGGGGGUGAGGGGGCUAGGGGAAAAAGGAGAGAGGUACCCUUUAGUAAACAAGAAUAUAUAACAGAGUUUGAACACUCUCACUUUGUAGGUCCUACUUCUACAUAGUAAGACAGUCAUUGUUUGUGAGAUCCUCAGUGUUUUUUUUUCUCAAGCUGCUGUAAAUUAAUUUUUUCAGUUUGGUGACUAAGCUUUAGGCAGAUUAUUGCUAUAGUUGAGAGCUUCAAAGUUUUGUUCAGAUGUGUUGUGUGUUAGUUACAUAUGCUGGUUAUCUCAGUUUAACUGUUUUGAAGCUUGUGUUUUACAGACUGGACACCUUCUCACAGGAAGCACACUUGCACUUCUGCAGCAGAAACCUGCGCUAGUCUUAGCUUCAUUCCACAAUCUCAGUGAGUAAGCAGGACUCUAGAAUUACUACUGCAACACAGAGUUACUUGCUUAGUGAAAAGUUUCAUUGUGUUAUUGAAAGAAAGUAAUCAUGCAAAGGGACCCAGUCUGCUGCCUCCUAGUGUUAAUUACAUUACAUCACAUUAGUAAAGGUUUCAUUACUCUCAAUUUUAAUCUUACUAGGAAGUCCUAGAAUCCAUGAAAUUAUAAUCUGAUUUUUACCUGCCUUUUAAGCAUAAAGCUAUAAAAAUACAGACAACUCUUGUUCAGGAUACCUACUAGAGAUCUUACAGCUUUUAAGUCUGGGAAUGCAAAGUAUGAUUAAGUAGUUUUAAACAUAGCAAAAUUACUGUAUUCCAACUUUUAGGUAAACCACAGGCUAGAACUUCCUAAAACUUUAGAACAGUGCCCAAAACUGAGGCAAACUAUUCCAGAGGAUGCCUUUAUUCCAUAUGAGGUUCUUUUAAUUUCCUUUUAUGCUGUUUUCCUCUUUACAUAGCUGUUGUAAAUAUGCCUAAGUUGCUUCUGAUGCUGUUUCAAUUCAGAAAUCCACCCUAGCUUUGAACAACAGUAUCAAAGCACUAACUCAGUAGUGUUUAACAGCCUUAUUCAAUAAAAACUCUGCCUGUUCCUGUUGCCCACAGGCUCUGUAGGCUUUAUGUAACUACAGCAGAUGGACUAUGCCCUCAGUGCAUUUUGUCACAUUAAACAGUUUCCUUGAUCGUCUAGGGCGGGACUCAUCUUGCCAUGCUUUCAAAGACAGCUUCUACACUUCUUUUCCCACUGAGAAUGAAGGAGCCAAGAUGACUAUGUGCCUGCCUUAAGUACCCAUUUUUGGAUAAGAUGGAUCUCCCAUUAGAUGUUGGUCUUUCCAAUAAUUAUAGAAGGCUUAAAUGUCUUCUGCCUUGGAUACUGGGUACCAAACUUAAAACAUCUCAAACAGGCUUGUUCAGGUGUUCUAUAGAGCAUGAGAAUUUUCAAAUCGUUAAGGCUGCUGUGUACUGAGGAAAUGAUCUAGUUCUUAUCCUUGUCUGGUCAAGAGCUGUUCCCCACUGAAACAAUUUGCUAAAGAUGGUAUUGAAACUGAUCAGGUCAUGUGAGUCACUGUCAUGCUCUUUCAAAUGGUCGGUAGCUAAAAAUAAUCCUGGGUGCUAUGUUGGUACUAUCUUGGUUUAAGUAAUAUAAUGCCUGAAGUGAGGGGUAAAUUAUUCUGCAAAUCUGGUAGCCUUCCUGCAUUUGGGCAUUAUUUGACUAAAAAAAGGCUAGUAGGUUUGCUUAGACUAUGUGAAAUAGCACAGUUCUGAUCACUGCAAGUUGUAUAUGCAAAAUAUUUGGCAUGUGCCAGGCUGAAGUCUGGAAAACUGUUAUUCUAGUGUUUUGAUGCUAACAAAUGAAAAGCCAAUUGACUUGGAAAGCAGAACUUCUCAAGUGUAAAAGCUUUAACUAUAUUCCAUAGAUUCUUACAGGAGGUAGCUGUUUUGCAUCAAAUUGGACUCACUAAAAAUGGAAAACCUAGUGAAUGUCACCCUAUCAAUUAAGGAAGUUCUAAACUUUGUCUUGCAUGGACUCUUGAAUUCAGCCAAGUGAUGAACACUUCUCACUCCUGUUUUAGAAGUAGAACUUUGUUUGUAAGAACACAGUAAAUACUCAGUUGUCCAAAGUCUUCAUUAAAAUAACUGUUUAUUCCUUUUUGUUUCUGAAAGUACUUAGCUAAGUGAAACAAGACUUUUUAUAAUGUGUAAUGCUGCAAUUUAACUAUAGUGUUGUGAAGACUAGUGUUUACAAUGUAAAUGUUACAAUGAAAACUGCAUAAGAAUGUCCCUGUAAAAUACAGUAGCAUGCCUGUUCAGUCACUGCUGUCACAUCUUUGCGACUAUGAAUUACAGACUUUUUCACUGGAAGCUGAGAUAGUCAAGGUGAUAGCUAAACUUGGAGCUAAACUUAACAAAACUGAGUGACAGACCUGAAUUUUUGGUAAGAAUUUUAUCCAGGUAGCAAAUGUACAUUUUAAUCAAAUCUUUAACAUGUAGGGAAGUGUAUCUUUCUCUUUUUUUUUUAUGGUGUAAUGCAGUGCCACUGAACUAUAAGGCCUCUGACUUUUUUUUUUUUACUGUGAUAGGGACCAAAAGCUAGCAAUCUGAGGGCCUUAUGUGUGGUAACCUGGAUGUUCCAGUUUAUUUUCCAGCUCAGUGUACUCAGCACAAAGCCAUAUAUGGAGCCUGACUCAACACCUUGACAGUAGCCCCUAGAAAAUUAGGGGUACAAUGGAAUGGGAAGCUGCCUCAGCUAUUGUUAGCACUGAAUUCACUUUAAAAAUUAUAGGGAAAUACCAUCUAAGCUUGAAGCAAUAUGUGGUUUUUUUAAAGUUUCUAAACAGUAUUUGUUUUUAAUGCUUCUGUAUUGUCUAUAUUUAAUAGUGUAGUGUCAACUUGUAUAUGGGAAUAAAAUGAGUGAUACAAA